GGCGGGGCCAAAAGAGGGCGCGGCCGAUGGGGCGGAGGCGGGGUUCCAGAGGCGGGGCCUAGCGGAGAGGGUGGGGGGAAGGGCGAGGCGUGAACACCCGGUGGGGCCGCGGCAGCCGGGGCCUCCCAGGCUCCAGGACCUGGAAGGGUUGAGCUGAAGUCGGAAGGGCCCCUCCGACCGGCCGUGGGACUCUGCGGGGGAUCUGGGGCGACAGGCUUCAGGCUCAUCGCGUGACGGUCCCGAGGCUGACUCGCACCAAGCCAGGGUGAGCAGGAAGAUGUCCUGGGAGCACUGCAAAAUCCGGUGUCCCUCUCUGUGGGUGAAGAUGCUCUACCUUUGCCCCCUCCCCUGGGAUCUCCACGUUUCUGCCCUUCACUGCCCCAAUAAAGCAGUUUUUGCCUCUCUCUGGCUCUCUCUA